rnacentral:rRNA from 1 species
UACGUAGGGUGCAAGCGUUUAAUCGGAAUUACUGGGCGUAAAGCGUGCGCAGGCGGUUGUGCAAGACAGAUGUGAAAUCCCCGGGCUCAACCUGGGAAUUGCAUUUGUGACUGCACGGCUAGAGUGUGUCAGAGGGGGGUAGAAUUCCACGUGUAGCAGUGAAAUGCGUAGAUAUGCGGAGGAACACCGAUGGCGAAGGCAAUCCCCUGGGCCUGCACUGACGCUCAUGCACGAAAGCGUGGGGAGCAAACAGG